rnacentral:rRNA from 1 species
ACUCCUACGGGAGGCAGCAGUGGGGAAUUUUGGACACUGGGCGAAAGCCUGAUCCAGCAAUGCCGCGUGAGUGAAGAAGGCCUUCGGGUUGUAAAGCUCUUUUGUCAGGGAAGAAACGGUGAGAGCUAAUAUCUCUUGCUAAUGACGGUACCUGAAGAAUAAGCACCGGCUAACUACGUGCCAGCAGCCGCGGUAAUACGUAGGGUGCAAGCGUUAAUCGGAAUUACUGGGCGUAAAGCGUGCGCAGGCGGUUUUGUAAGUCUGAUGUGAAAUCCCCGGGCUCAACCUGGGAAUUGCAUUGGAGACUGCAAGGCUAGAAUCUGGCAGAGGGGGGUAGAAUUCCACGUGUAGCAGUGAAAUGCGUAGAUAUGUGGAGGAACACCGAUGGCGAAGGCAGCCCCCUGGGUCAAGAUUGACGCUCAUGCACGAAAGCGUGGGGAGCAAACAGGAUUAGAUACCCCAGUAGUCCAUGAU